rnacentral:lncRNA from 1 species
AUAUAUGGUUGAUAAAAUGAAGGAGGAUAUGUUGAUAAGAUUGAUAUGAAAGAUAUAGUUAAUAAUGAUGAAAAAAAUAUUGAAAUAUUACGUUGUCCUAAAUGUUUUAGUUAUAUCCAUUCAACUAUAUUAGAAAAUAUAUCGAAAUCUGUGGAUUGUGUAUUUUGUGAUACAAAUUUCAUGAUAAAUAAGAAUAUUUUAUAUGAUAUUUAUAAAUAUAAUGAAAAAGUAAAUACUGUUGUUGAAAAUGAUGGAUAUAAUAAUAAUAGUUAUAAUUUAUCUCCUUUAUUAAAAGGUAGUGUAGAUAUUGUUAUUCCUUCAAAAUAUUAUGAAAAUACUAAUAACUUAGUUUUAAAUUAUACAUAUUUGAAUAAAAAUAUCAAUCAAACUGCGUCAAUAAUAACAAAUAAAAUUAUGAACAUAACAAAACAAAUAUCAAAUACAUUUAUUUCGAAUGAAAACAAAAAUAUUAAUAAUCAAAUAGGAGGAAUAUAUUCAAAUGGAGAUGAAUAUAAUAGUAGUAAUUAUAUGAAUAACAGUGUUACAACGAGUGAUAAUAACUACAACACUUUUAACAACACCAGUUUUAAUAAUAAUAAUAAUACUAUUGCAAACUAUAAUGAAAGUAAUAAUCUCACAUUUGGACAAAAAAAAGGAUCAAACAACAAUUUGAAUAACUAUUCAAACGAUAUCCAUUUUGGUAACCAUGAAAUGGAUAUAAAUAAUUUAAGUUUAGAUGAAAUAAAAUAUAUUAUACGUGAUAAAAAAAAUGAAACAUUGGAAAAUAAAAUUAAAAGAAAUAAUAUUUUAAACAAAUAUCCAAAAUUAAAAAAUUUAUUACCACCUUAUUUUGUAUUUGUUGUUGAAUGUUCUUCUCAUGCAAUAAAUAGUAAUAUUACAUAUACAGUACUUGAAGGUAUUAGAUAUGCUGUACAGAAUGUUAAAUGUAGACAAACAAAAAUAGCAAUAAUCACUUUUAGUAAUUCGGUUUAUUUUUAUAAUUGUAAGCGUAAGGCAGUUAAUAGUACAACCGAUACAACAAAUGUAACUUCAAAUAAUAACAAUAUAUAUAAUCAAGUAAUAGUGAUGAGCGAUGUGGAUGAUCCCUUUUUGCCUUUGCCAUUAGAAGAUUUAUUAUUAAAUUGUGUUGAAGAUAUAGAUAAAAUUAAUAACCUGAUUGAUACUAUUAAAACAUUUUGUAGUAAAUUACAAUCUUAUGAAUCUUGUGGAAAUAGUGCAUUAAAAAUAGCAGUCGAUAUAUUGAAGGAAAGAAAUGGGAUGGGUUCUGUAUGUAUGUUUUAUACAAGUACCCCUAGUUGUGGAGUUGGUGCAAUUAAUGAUUUAAAAAAAGAAACACAAGAUACUUUUUUAGUUGUUAAACAAAAGAUAUUUUAUGAUGCAUUAUUAUUAGAUUUAUAUUCUUAUAACAUUAGUGUAGAUAUAUGUAUUAUAUCAUCAAAUAAUGUACGUAUGUCU